rnacentral:rRNA from 1 species
GAAAGUAAGCAAGGGCAGACGGUGGAUGCCUUGGCUCUCGGAGGCGACGAAGGACGUGAUAAGCUGCGAAAAGCCCGGGGGAGGCGCAAAUAGCCGUUGAUCCCGGGAUAUCCGAAUGGGGCAACCCGGCAGGCUGAAGGCCUGUCAUCCCGAAAGGGAGGCGAACGUGGGGAACUGAAACAUCUAAGUACCCAUAGGAGGAGAAAAUAAACAAUGAUUCCGUAAGUAGUGGCGAGCGAACACGGAAGAGCCCAAACCCAUGUCGUCUAGGCGACACGGGGGUUGUAGGACCACGACGUGGCAAGAAGGAAGGGAAAUGGAACGACUUGGAAAAGUCGGCCAUAGACGGUGAAAGCCCGGUACAUGACUCCCUUACGAAGCCUAGUGGUAUCCUGAGUAGCGCGGGGCACGAGAAAUCUUGCGUGAAACAGCGGGGCCCAUCCCGUAAGGCUAAAUACUCCCGAGAGACCGAUAGCGAACCAGUACCGUGAGGGAAAGGUGAAAAGAACCCCGAGCAGGGGAGUGAAAUAGACCCUGAACCCGUCUGCCUACAAGCGGUCGGAGCGUCGUAAUGACGUGACGGCGUGCCUUUUGCAUAAUGAACCUACGAGUUACCUUCCCCGGCAAGGUUAAGUACCUAAGGUACGGAGCCGAAGCGAAAGCGAGUCUGAACAGGGCGCCAAGUCGGGGGGGGUAGACGCGAAACCGAGUGAUCUACCCUUGGCCAGGUUGAAGGUUGGGUAACACCAACUGGAGGACCGGAUGGGUAAGCGUUGAAAAGCUUUCCAAUGAGCUGAGGGUAGGGGUGAAAGGCUAAUCAAACUCGGAGAUAGCUCGUACUCCCCGAAAUGCAUUUAGGUGCAGCCUCUUUAUAGUAUAUCGUGAGGUAGAGCGACUGAUUGGAUGCGAGGGCUUCACCGCCUAUCAAGUCCAGAUAAACUCCGAAUGCGCGAUAUAUAUUUACAGGGAGUGAGGGCGCGGGUGCUAAGGUCCGUGUCCGAGAGGAGAAGAAUCCAGACCACCGGCUAAGGCCCCCAAAUGAUCGUUAAGUUGAACUAACGAGGUCGGAUCGCAGAGACAGCUAGGAUGUUGGCUUGGAAGCAGCCAUUCAUUUAAAGAGUGCGUAACAGCUCACUAGUCGAGCGAUCUGGCGUGGAUAAUAAUCGGGCAUAAACGAUCUGCCGAAGCCGUGGAUGUCGCAAGACAUGGUAGGGGAGCAUUCCAUGCCGCGUCGAAGAUGAGGGAUGACCCUUGUUGGAGCGCAUGGAAAAGCAAAUGUAGGUAUGAGUAACGAUAAGGGGGGCGAGAAACCCCCCCGCCGAAAGACCAAGGUUUCCUGAUCAACGCUAAUCGGAUCAGGGUGAGUCGGGACCUAAGGCAAAGCCGAACGGCGCCGCCGAUGGAAGAAUGGGUUAAUAUUCCCAUACUGCCUCAUGGAGUGACGUGGAGACGGAGAAGUGACAGUCCUGCCGGCUGACGGAAUAGCCGGUUGAAGGGUGUAGAUAUUGAUUCCCGUAGGCAAAUCCGCGGGGAGAGUCGAACCUGAGAGUAUACGGAGCGCUUGCGCAACGUAAUAUGGACGUAACCAUGCUCCCGAGAAAAUCCGCUAAACUUAUCCAUGCGGCACCCGUACCGUAAACGGACACACGUGGUCGGGUUGAGAAUACUGAGGCGCUCGAGUGAUUCACGGUUAAGGAACUAGGCAAAUUGACCCUGUAACUUCGGGAUAAAGGGUCCUCGUCGUAAGGCGAGGCGCAGAGAAUAGGUCCAGGCAACUGUUUAACAAAAACACAUGGCUGUGCUAAAUGGAAACAUGAUGUAUACAGCCUGACACCUGCCCGGUGCUGGAAGGUUAAGAGGAGAUGUCAUCGCAAGAGAAGCGUUGAAUUGAAGCCCCAGUAAACGGCGGCCGUAACUAUAACGGUCCUAAGGUAGCGAAAUUCCUUGUCGGGUAAGUUC